AAUUACCCUCAUGAGAAUGCUGGUCAGUGACAGUAUCUACUUUCAGUGCUUAGAAGGGUCCAACUGGUCCCCCUUUUAUUUGGCACCUGCCAAUCAACUUGGUAGACCUGAAGGGCUCAAACUUC